AUACUGCGUGCGCGCGGUCGUUGCCAUGACGCUGAGCGUAAACCGGCAGACAGCCGUUGAACACAGACAGACGGAGGAGAUGAUGAUGGACCUGGAGCCGACAAACUGAGCUGAAAUGACACACUUUCACCUGAAAACCUCUCGUCCCAGUAGUUCAGGUGGUGGUAUGAUGAAGGCUCCCAGCAGCGAGGUCGGAGUGUUUGUCCGGAUCAGACCAACGGCUGACUUCUCCCAACACAUCAUUGAAUGUCUGCCUGACGGACAGACAGUGAACAUCUAUCACAGGAAAGACUCCAGGAAGCCUCAAGACUCGAAAAAUCAGCUGAGCUCCUGGUCAUUCCGGUUGGAAGGCGUCCUGCAGGAUGUAUCCCAGGAGGAGUUGUACGCCAGAGUGUGCCGACCGGUGGUACUGGGAGCACUGGAUGGCUAUAAUGGUACUGUGAUGUGUUUUGGGCAGACAGGUGCAGGAAAGACCUACACCAUGACAGGAUCCACAGAAUCGUACAAGCAGAGAGGCGUCAUUCCUCGGGCCCUUCAGGAGGUGUUUCAGGAGGUUGAGAAAAGGACUGAGCACGCGUUCUCUGUGCACCUGUCCUACCUGGAGGUCUACAAUGACACCCUGGUGGACCUGCUGUCAUCGCUGCGAAGCUCGUCACACCCGUCUCCUCGCGGCAUGGUGGUGACAGAGGAGCCCGGCAGAGGGGUGUUCAUCAAAGGUCUGUCUCUUCACCCUGUCCACAGUGAGGAGGAGGCUCUCAACCUGCUGUUUGAGGGUGAGUUGAAUCGCAUUAUUGGAGCUCAUGCCUUGAACAGGAACUCCUCCAGGUCCCACUGUAUCUUCACUGUGCAUAUAGAGUCUCGUUCACGGACCCUGUCUGAUGCCAAGUACGUCACCUCCAAGCUGAAUCUGGUGGAUUUGGCUGGGUCAGAGAGGGUCAGAAAGACUGGGUCAGAGGGCCAGAUGUUCAAGGAAGCCAUGUACAUCAACAAGUCGUUGUCUUUCCUGGAGCAGGCCAUCCUGGCCCUGGCAGACCGCCGCAGAGACCACGUUCCCUUCAGACAGACUAAACUCACUCAUGCCCUCAAAGACUCACUGGGAGGGAACUGCAACACUGUGCUUGUGGCCAACAUCUACGGUGAGGCUGCACAGAUUGAAGAAACACUCUCUACUCUGCGUUUUGCCAGCAGAAUGAAGUGUGUCCGGACAAACCCUGCUGUUAAUGAACAUGUGGAUCCAGCGACUCAGAUCAAGAAACUUAAGAAGGAUGUACAGAUGCUGAAAGAGGAACUGUCCAUCUACAAUACAUUGGUGAACCGUCAGAGCACCCCGUACGAGACGUUGUCUGAAGCCCAGCUGGCUGAGAUCCACAGCGAGGUUCAGAGGUACCUAGAGGGGAGCCUGGAGGAAAUCAGCAUCAUAAGUAUCAGACAGGUCCAAGCCGUGUUCGCCCAGUUCAAGCUUGCUGUUCAGAAACAGAAGCAGAAGGUGACGGCUCAGCUAUGCCAGACCUACAACUUGGUUGAGAAAAACCGAAGUGCUAACACAGCUGCUAUCAAGGAGUGGGAUAGCAGCAUUGACGAUGCUGGCAGCUUUGAGGUGUCUGAUCAAUCCCUGAAAAACACCGAGCCCCCGAAUUUGACCAAAGCCAAAACUAAAAAGUCUAGGGACAAACAGAGCAAGAGACAGGUAGAAGGGAGUCCAGUUCCAAGGAAGCGUUUGGAAAGCAAAGCAAAGCUGAAUCCUGUCCAGAUGCCUGGGAGGGAACAGGAGUCACAAGAACCAGACAGAGAGAGCCAGAGCACACAGGAGUCCCAACCGCCUGGCAAUGAACCCUUCCCCUCUGACUCUCCUCCAACCAAAGCAGAAGCCUUUGAGGAUUUUAAAGUGGGACAAGGCAGCAAGAUCAACCACAUCCUUAAGGAGAACAAGUCUGUGCUCUUGGAACGCCGCAGUCUUCUUCGACAGCUAACCGAGGAGGUCAACGCUGUCAAGAGAGAGAUCGACUGCACCACGGCCACCAUACAGCAGCACAAAGAGACGAGAAGAGGCCAAGGUCAGUAUUUGGUUAUUGAGGAGGAGCCAAUGCUGCAGGAGCCAGAUGCCACUUCAUUGAUACAGCUCAGAGAGCUGAAGGCCCUGUACCGGCAGAGAUACGAGGUGCUGCGUGACAUCAAGGCAGAGCUUAGAGUUAUCAUAGCUGGAAUCAUUGGUGCCUUGAGAAGCUCAGAAAACUGUUCAUGUGUGUCCCAGAAUUUGAGAACUGGUAUGAGAAGUCUGUCCUGGUACCUGAGGAGGAGCUGGACAAGACCCUUGAACAAGCGGAGGAUAACCAGCGAACUUUGGAGCAGUAUUUGAAUGGGCGUCUUCCUGACAGCUCCAGCUCCGAGUCCUUCUACAACGCCCGCUACAGAACGCUGAAAAGGAGGAAAAGCAGGUUGAUGUCCUUUACUCCAGUGCAGAGGAACACAUCUGGACAGAGAAGACUUCCUCCAAUUCUACCUUUUAGAUAAGUGAGUUUUAUGCACAAACUAAAGUUGGUGAACUACAGCG